ensembl:snRNA U2 U2 spliceosomal RNA
ACUACUUCUUGGUCUUUUGGCUAAAGUCAAGUAUAGUAUCUGUUCUAGGAUUUCUGGAGCAGGGAGAUGGAACAGAAGCUUGCUUGGACCACUCCACAUAUUGACCAGGUAUUAUGAUAUCUCCAAGAACCAUGCACCAAGA